rnacentral:tRNA from 1 species
UACCUACGAGUGGAUUUGAACCAAUUACUUCUUCCAUAUGGACGCAAUACUCUAACCACUGAGU